rnacentral:miRNA from 1 species
GGAUGAGAUUGAAAGAGAGGAUGAGAGAGGAGGAUGGAAGGGAGGACUAAUAAAAGUGAAAAAAAAAAAAAAAACCUUUAAAGUGAAAACAAUUUAAAAUAGAUUUCAAUUUUUAGUUUUUGUUUUCACUUUUGAUACUCCUCCCUCCCAUCCUCCCCUCUCAUGUUCCCUCUCAAUCCCAUCUU